AACGAACGCUGGCGGCAGGCUUAACACAUGCAAGUCGAACGCACCUUUCGGGGUGAGUGGCAGACGGGUGAGUAACGCGUGGGAAUCUACCCUUCUCUACGGGAUAGCUCCGGGAAACUGGAAUUAAUACCGUAUACGUCCUGAGGGAGAAAGAUUUAUCGGGGAAGGAUGAGCCCGCGUUGGAUUAGCUAGUUGGUGGGGUAAAGGCCUACCAAGGCGACGAUCCAUAGCUGGUCUAAGAGGAUGAUCAGCCACAUUGGGACUGAGACACGGCCCAAACUCAUACGGGAGGCAGCAGUGGGGAAUAUUGGACAAUGGGCGCAAGCCUGAUCCAGCCAUGCCGCGUGAGUGAUGAAGGCCCUAGGGUUGUAAAGCUCUUUCAGUGGGGACGAUAAUGACGGUACCCACAGAAGAAGCCCCGGCUAACUUCGUG
rnacentral:rRNA from 1 species